rnacentral:rRNA from 1 species
CCUACGGGAGGCUGCAGUGAGGAAUAUUGGUCAAUGGGCUUACGCCUGAACCAGCCAAGUCGCGUGAGGGAAGACUGCCCUAUGGGUUGUAAACCUCUUUUGUCAGGGAGCAACGCCGGCUACGUGUAGCCGGACUGAGAGUACCUGAAGAAAAAGCAUCGGCUAACUCCGUGCCAGCAGCCGCGGUAAUACGGAGGAUGCGAGCGUUAUCCGGAUUUAUUGGGUUUAAAGGGUGCGUAGGCGGAAUGCCAAGUCAGCGGUAAAAUCGCGGGGCUCAACCUCGCUCCGCCGUUGAAACUGGCGUUCUUGAGUGGGCGAGAAGUAAGCGGAAUGAGCGGUGUAGCGGUGAAAUGCUGAGAUAGUGCGCAGAACACCGAUUGCGAAGGCAGCAUACCGGCGGCGAUCUGACGCUGAGGCACGAAAGCGUGGGUAUCGAACAGGAUUAGAUACCCGAGUAGUC